AUUGAACGCUGGCGGCAUGCCUUACACAUGCAAGUCGAACGGUAACAGGUCUUCGGAUGCUGACGAGUGGCGAACAGGUGAGUAAUACAUCGGAACGUGCCUAGUAGUGGGGGAUAACUACUCGAAAGAGUGGCUAAUACCGCAUGAGAUCUACGGAUGAAAGCAGGGGAUCGCAAGACCUUGUGCUACUAGAGCGGCCGAUGGCAGAUUAGGUAGUUGGUGGGAUAAAAGCUUACCAAGCCGACGAUCUGUAGCUGGUCUGAGAGGACGAUCAGCCACACGGGGACUGAGACACGGCCCAGACGCCGACGUGAGGCAGCAGUGGGGAAUUUUGGACAAUGGGCGCAAGCCUGAUCCAGCAAUGCCGCGUGCAGGAUGAAGGCCUUCGGGUUGUAAACUGCUUUUGUACGGAACGAAAAGCCCUGGGUUAAUACCCCGGGGUCAUGACGGUACCGUAAGAAUAAGCACCGGCUAACUACGUGCCAGCCGCCGCCGUAACAC
rnacentral:rRNA from 1 species